rnacentral:rRNA from 1 species
ACGGAACUUCUUUAAAGGAUUUCUUCGGAAUGAAUUUGAUUAAGUUUAGUGGCGGACGGGUGAGUAACGCGUGAGUAACCUGCCUCUAAGAGGGGAAUAACAUUCUGAAAAGAAUGCUAAUACCGCAUAACAUAUAUUUAUCGCAUGGUAGAUAUAUCAAAGAUUUAUCGCUUAGAGAUGGACUCGCGUCCGAUUAGUUAGUUGGUGAGGUAACGGCUCACCAAGACCGCGAUCGGUAGCCGGACUGAGAGGUUGAACGGCCACAUUGGGACUGAGACACGGCCCAGACUCCUACGGGAGGCAGCAGUGGGGGAUAUUGCGCAAUGGGGGAAACCCUGACGCAGCAACGCCGCGUGAAGGAUGAAGGUCUUUGGAUUGUAAACUUCUUUUAUUAAGGACGAAGAAAGUGACGGUACUUAAUGAAUAAGCUCCGGCUAACUACGUGCCAGCAGCCGCGGUAAUACGUAGGGAGCAAGCGUUGUCCGGAUUUACUGGGUGUAAAGGGUGCGUAGGCGGCUUUGCAAGUCAGAUGUGAAAUCUAUGGGCUCAACCCAUAGCCUGCAUUUGAAACUGCAGAGCUUGAGUGAAGUAGAGGCAGGCGGAAUUCCCCGUGUAGCGGUGAAAUGCGUAGAGAUGGG